UACGUAGGGGGCUAGCGUUGUCCGGAAUCAUUGGGCGUAAAGCGCGUGUAGGCGGCCCGAUAAGUCCGCUGUGAAAGUCCAGGGCUCAACCCUGGGAUGCCGGUGGAUACUGUCGGGCUAGAGUCCGGAAGAGGCGAGUGGAAUUCCUGGUGUAGCGGUGAAAUGCGCAGAUAUCAGGAGGAACACCAAUGGCGAAGGCAGCUCGCUGGGAAGUGACUGACGCUGAGACGCGAAAGCGUGGGGAGCAAACAGG
rnacentral:rRNA from 1 species